AUUGAACGCUGGCGGCAUGCCUUACACAUGCAAGUCGAACGGCAGCACGGGUGCUUGCACCUGGUGGCGAGUGGCGAACGGGUGAGUAAUACAUCGGAACAUGUCCUGUAGUGGGGGAUAGCCCGGCGAAAGCCGGAUUAAUACCGCAUACGAUCUACGGAUGAAAGCGGGGGACCUUCGGGCCUCGCGCUAUAGGGUUGGCCGAUGGCUGAUUAGCUAGUUGGUGGGGUAAAGGCCUACCAAGGCGACGAUCAGUAGCUGGUCUUAGAGGACGACCAGCCACACUGGGACUGAGACACGGCCCAGACUCCUACGGGAGGCAGCAGUGGGGAAUUUUGGACAAUGGGCGAAAGCCUGAUCCAGCAAUGCCGCGUGUGUGAAGAAGGCCUUCGGGUUGUAAAGCACUUUUGUCCGGAAAGAAAUCCUUGGCCCUAAUACGGUCGGGGGAUGACGGUACCGGAAGAAUAAGCACCGGCUAACUACGUG
rnacentral:rRNA from 1 species